rnacentral:rRNA from 1 species
GCGUGAGUGAUGAAGGCCUUAGGGUUGUAAAACUCUUUCGCUAGGGACGAUAAUGACGGUACCUAGAGAAGAAGCCCCGGCUAACUUCGUGCCAGCAGCCGCGGUAAUACGAAGGGGGCUAGCGUUGUUCGGAUUUACUGGGCGUAAAGCGCAUGUAGGCGGGUCGUUAAGUUGGGGGUGAAAUCCCGGAGCUCAACUCCGGAAUUGCCUUCAAAACUGGCGGCCUGGAGCAGAAGAGAGGCGAGUGGAAUUCCGAGUGUAGAGGUGAAAUUCGU